UAAGGUUAAGGCUCUUUUUAUACUAUGAACUGCAAAAACUGUUGUCAUGUCUCAAGUGUGAUGUAGCUACUUAAUUGCCAGAAACAUUUUGUUUUGAGACAUAUUAGGCCAAAUGAAACCCCUCCAUUGCAUGGCACGGGGCGGGGGGGAGAAAAGCACAGUAAAGAGGUGAAGUGAGUCUGGGAAUUCUACAUGCUGUAGUACUUUCCCUCCAAGCCAAAGAAUCUCCUGUACUUGGUUUGUCGUUACUUAUUUUCAUUUGCAUUGCAGCGGUGCCUAGGAGCUCCAGCAGGAUUGGGUCCCAUCCUGUUAAGGGCUGUACAAACAGACAGAUAGACACAGUCUGCCAGCAUCCAUGGGUUCUGCUCCCAGAUAGGGUCCACGCCACAACCUGUGUCCCUUUUGAGCUGCUACUAAAGGUCCUUCCCCCUCUGCAGCCCAGACACACACCAGCAGGACCUGGGAUUCCGAACUGUCAUGGAGCAAUCAAAGAGGAAGUGCUUCCAUGAUGAACUUAUGGUGGACAUCCAGGACAAGGCCAACAAACCAGUACAAUACCAAAGGGAAAAGGGUUCAUGGCAAGUGGAAAGGCACAGACAGGCUACAGAGCACUGGGAGUGAAUUACAGGAAAACCCUGGCAUCAUGAACUUGUCCAGUGCAGCCCACUUUGGCGUCCAUAAAUCAGGCUCUGUGAUUCACAAGGGCCUGUAUAAUAAUGGAGUAGUACCUUUUGUGGUUCAUGUGCUCCUUGAGCGGGGCAAACUAUGUACACGUGAUUGCCAUCAGUGGCCCCAGUGAAGUUUGGAAACCCCAUUCUCUCAAAACCAGCUAUUCUGAACACCAAAAAAUACAGCAUAGAUUUCAAGAUGACACUUCUCGGUAACAAUAAACAAUACGCUCUGAAAAGCAGCCAACUGUAGUGAAAAAAACCUUGUCCAGUUCAAUAUUAAUGAUUAAAUCUAGAAAUAAAAAAAACAAAAAGAACUUCUUUAGCAUGCAACCUAAUAAAAUAAAUUAUCAAAUUUUACUAUCGAUUUGCAGUAGACAAAACAUGAUUCACUUAAUGUUUGUAACAUGCUGGGGAGGAGAACUGCUAAGUAUUUUAUUAUUAAACAUGGUAAACUCACUAACAUACAUUGUGGCACCAUUGAACUUACAGAUAGUUUUAGGUUAGGGAUCAUUUACUGGUCAUGCCAGUAAACAAAUAUUGCUCAAGUCAUUUAGGAAAUGUUGUUCCCUGUGACUAACAUCCACCAGCAAAUUACACAGGCCUGCUAUUUAUUACCACUUAGGUGAUAUUAUGUUCUGCACAGUUUAGCCUGUCUCCACACUAAUCCUUAAGGUGUGUUUGUUUUUUAAACAUCUAUUUUGAGUUUAAUUCAAGUUGGCUGUAGUGCUACACAGCUGACAGCAUGGCAGCGGGGGGCGGCUGAUCGUUACCAAACUUGUGCCCGUAACAUAGUGUACUGUACGACUGCGACUCACAUAUGCCAGCUUGAACUGACUAAAAAAAUGUAUUGUCACGUCAGUUUCUUUAUUGUCAAAACGUGGAAUGGAGGGCCCAUAAUGAACCUUCUUUCUGACUUGUGUGUGUCAACAAAAUCUUCAAACAAAGGAAGGAAAAUCUGUUGUGGACAAGUAAAUGCUAUGUAUAGUUGCUAAAUAUUGGUGGAAAGUGGUCUUCCCUCUUCUGCCCCUGCACCCAUCUACAGUUUAUUUUCACUAUCAUGCAAUAGUGCAAAUAAACUUUUAUUUUUUUAAACAGAAUAAUCUCUAAAGGUGAAGCCUGGGGAAGCUUGGCUCUGGAUCCAAACUUGGCAGCUCAAACCACAUCUACUCUUUUUGUUUGUUUUUAAGAAUUUGCUUCUAAUGGAGCUCUUGAAGUGAGGGUCAAAGUUCAGAGAGCUAGGCUGGAGGACUUUAUUAGUAUUCUCAAGACCCUGUCUUGAAGUUUAAAUGUUAAAUGGGAAGUGUGACAUUUCCAGAACUCUUUGUGGGUUCAGUUGUACUUGAAUCUGAAUCAGAAUUCCUCUGUGUUCAUCUUGCCUAUCAGAAUUAAAAGGCCACAGUAUGCAUGCUGUACGCUUUGUAUACACCCUUCAUUUGUAAACUGAAUGAAGUACACAUUCUGCAGCCAUUCUGCUGUGUAUUUGCGUUUCUGCAAGCAACAGUCUGAAUUAUCAGAUUUUAAGUCCUAGAAUACUGAAUUGUAAUGAAAUGGCCGGCAACCAGUUGUGAAUUUUAAGCAAGCUGUGUAAAAUAAUCAGCUGCAUCUUAAGGAAAGAAGCCCAAAAUCAGAUAUUUUUAAGUUCUGUUAAGAUUUCUUAUCUAGCCCUGUUAGGGAGUACACUCUAGAUUCAAAAUAAAAAUCAAAUUCUAGGUUGGUAAUUCAAGGUCAAGUAAAACUUAAUGCUAGGGUUUAUUUCAAGAAUACCACCAAUUAGCUACAAUCACCUUAUCAAAAUGUUGUGAUUAAUGGAAUAGAAGCUGCACUCUGGGCAAGGAAGAUCAGUGCUGACAAUUUCCGAGGGUGUGGGUUUAAUAAGAUAUCAUUUGUCACACUCAGCAAUGCUAUUCCAGAAUUAUGCCGAGAUCAAAACCCUGAUUGGAAUCUAUCAAACCAAUAACUGCCGUUAGCCAAGUGACUGAGCAGUUGUGACAACAAAGCUUGCUGUGGGUACUGUACUAUGAAAUGAAUAUGUGAAGCUGCUGCCAGUGUGUGACAAGCCCUGGGACAAGAGAGUAGCAGCAUGGUAAGUGCAAACAACAAUAGCACAGGAAUAAUAUAAAAAGUUUAGGAGGUGAAAUUAACAGGCCAUUGAUAGAUAUUUAUUUCUGAAUAAGAGACAUUCAAGUAACAUUUAGGUCUACUGCUUGUGAUUUAAACUCUCAAAACAUAUGCAGGGUAGUUUAGAUAUCUGCUCAUCUAAUCUCAUUAUAGAAGCUCAGUCCAGCUCCCAUUGAAUUCAAAGGAGCCUUGUCCUCACUGAGAUAUUCACAAUUCUCCCAUUGUUGGUCUAGCAUAGACCUAACAGAAGCACUGCGUUCUUUAUUAUUACUAUUUGCUUGCUGAUAAUGCUGAAGGGCUGCAGCCAGGAAUCAGUGUGUUAGACACUGUACAAACACAUGUUAAAUAGAAACUCCCUGCCCACAAGAGUUGACAUGGUGGUAGGUAAAAACACUUAUUCUGAGUCUACACUAGUGAUUCUAUCAUUGCUUGCCUCCAUGGAGCUACACUGGUGUUAAACAGUUAAUGCUGGUGGACAACAGCAUCGAUUCUCAGUGGGGAAGCAGCCUGGUGUUUCUGUGUCAGUGGAAGUAGGUUCUAACCUAUGGUCACCUAAAAAGAACUGUAUCCUUCCUAGCUUCAAGCCUUGUUCUCCUUAUUCAGGCAAGUUGUCCCAUUGAAGUCUUCAGUGUUAUUGAAAUCUUGUAAUGUUGUUCAUCUCGUUGUCUCCUUCGUCUUUCCUACAUGCUUUUAACCUUUUAUCUUCAUUCUGUGGCAUUUUUUGGCUCUUCUGUACCUUUAUUAUCAUCUAAAUAUAGUAGCACUUCAGACUGUCUCUCUCACUACUGUAACUUUGGCUCUCAUUAACUGAUUCUGCAUGCAGUUAUACCUAGCUUGCAUUCUAAUCAACUUUGGCAGAUUAUGCUUUUAAGUAGUUCUUUAAUAUUUCUCCACUCUCAUUUGCAGUGAUGGUGAUGCAUUGUAAGAACCCUUCACAUGUGUCAUUGUGGUUGCAUCUUGAAAGAAAAAAAGUCUUCCAAAUGGUUUGGGUGUGAAAAAUCUACCCAAUUUAUCAUAAAUCAUGUUUUUAUUUGUAAAAACCUCCUUAUAGAAACACGUGGUUCAUUAAACUUUCACUGGUAGCUAUAUUCCCUGUCAGUUCUUUACUGUUUGGAUUUAACAAUAAUUAGAAUGAUCACUGCUGCAGACAUUACCACUGUGAAAAGCACAUAUCCUGAGGAUAUCAAUUAUGCCUAAAAUUAUGGCUCAUUUUUGUUUAAGACAUUAUUGAGAUGUGUUUUCACAUCACAACAGACAUAUGGUACUGCAUUAAAUACACUGGCAAAUAGUUCUGAGCAGUGGGGGAAUGUAUUCAUGGUAAUAAGGCCAAUAUUAAUUCACAUAUAGAAUUCUGAAUCUUUAAUUUUUACCCAUACUAGUGUAUUUGAGCACAGUAUAUAUGUUUGAGUUCAGGGCUUGUGAGGUCAGCAGGGUUUCUUUUUUGAAGUUACCUAAAAUAGUUUUUCAUGAGGAGGACAAAGAAGGUGAAAUCCCAGCCCCAUUGAUAUCAAUGGCCAAAAUAACUUUGUCCCUGGCUUGGUGGAGAUGUCUUGGAUCAAGUGCUUAAUGUUACAGGGAUCAGCCCUGCAAAGUGCUGGACAUUCUGACCCUGAUCCAGCAAAGCAUUUCAGUAUGUUUUUAACUUUAAGCAUGUGCUAAUUACCUUGAUGGUUCUGGACCAGAGUGCUCAGCACCUUGAAGGAUCAAGUUCUUAAGCCAGAACCUUUUGGAAUAGUGAGGAAAAAAUUACAGCUGGGACUGGCACUAGGCAGGAAUAAUUUUUGCAGUGUUGUAUUUGUUGUGAGGUGGCUACAGUUUGAGUAUGCACAAGCCUAAACUGUGCUAUGUUUUUGCUGUUUACGAACCAUCUCUGUUCAGAGCCAUAUUCUGUAUGGUUAUUGGGCCAAAUCCUGGAGAUCUUACUCAUUCUAUUUAGGCAGAGUUCUCAUGAACUUUAGGGAAUGUCUAUACUGCAGUUGGGAGGUGUGAUUGCAGCACAUGUAGACAUACCCAAGUUAGUUUUGGCCUAGCUAAAUUCUAGUCCCCCAGCCUGUCCAGGACCAUGGAUACAUACUUGAGCAGCUGCAGCCUGUGGUACCUUGACUUCACUGCUACUGUUACUUGAGAGAGCUUUUCUCUAGCUAGAUCUCAGCUUAAUAAGGCAUGUCUGUAUGUGCUGCAAUCAUACCUCCUGAGUAAGAACUGCAGGAUUUGGCCCACUGUACAUUAAUCAGAUGAGGAUAAUUUAUUGUACCUGUGUCCACGCUUGUAAAAAAGGAAAUAACCUUACUCCUAGGGUGAAAUCUUGGCCCCACUGAAACCAAUGGUGAAACUCCCAUUGACUUCAAGAGGGCAGGAUUUCACUUCUAGAGUCCAAAGCUUCCUGACUGCUCAGAAGUUGUGACCAUUUUGAGUCACUGCCUUUUGCAUAGUUUCUUGGGACACAGGUUGAGGGACAUACAGAAGUGUGAGGACCAGAGCUUCCUACUGAAUCAUUCUGGCUGUUGAAAAAGAAUAAAUAAUGGGGAGAGGAAGUCAACUCUUCAAGCUAAUGCUAAUCUCUGUGUGCAUCUAGUAUUCAAAUAAAAAGAGUUAUAACUGCAGGGUAGUCCAGGUUCUAAGAAGGAAAACUAACAUAUCAUGUUUGGCUGUUCCUUAGGAGCCCAGGAACCAAAUAACUUAAUAUGUGUUUAAAGUACUUUCCUAAUAUGAUUUCCCCAUUUUUCUAACCAUAAAGUGCAACUUCAAUAUAGUAGGAAUGUUUUUGGGCCCAUUUAGAAAUGUAUUCAUUGAAAAAAAGAGUUCCUUUAAAGAGAGAAUUUACUGGAAACAAACAACAUAUCUUUAAAAAUCAAAGUUAUUUAAAUCAAAUGAAGAGUUGCUUUCAGCAGCUUGUCCUUAUCCCCAGGUUUUAAUGAAAGCAACCCACAUCAGUUUAAUGUUCUUUCCAGUUACAAAAUCUCAGCCCUGGCAGUCUUUUCCUCUACUUUACCACGAACUGCCAGAAACGAAAGAUAUUUCCCAUUUGCUGUCUGAAAACUGAAAACGAGAAAUCGUGUGUCACUUAGCUCUCAUGUCUGAAGCAUAGGCACAGUAGAGCAAAAUAUUUUAAUGCCGCCUUCAUUUCAGACCUACGUAUUCAGUACUGCCAAUGCCAAAGGCCCACCAAAACCACAAAAUUAAAAAACCCCCAAACUCAUAAUUUUUAAGCCAAUCUUGUUUCUUUUUAAUUUGCCUUCUCAUUUGUGAGUCUUUAAGGUACAUUUGGGUAACAUUUUCAAGCUUUUCUCUGCAACCAUCAGAAAUAGAAAGUUGAUUUUUUUUAAUUGCUCAAAACUGAGUUUCUCAUCUAGUUUAGGUGCUGGAACUUUAAGGAAAAUGCCAAAUAUUGCAAGGAUCCCAAUAAAAUUGUAAGAAUGGACAAUAGUAUUAACUUCCAUUCAAAAAACCCAAUUGUGUUAAAAUCACUUUGCGACCACAUUGCAAAGUCAAGCUCUCAAAAGUUAGGACAAACGAAAUUAUAAUGCAACCUUAAUAAAAGUGUUGCUACUACUCCACCUGUAACGAUUGCAAUAAUCAGAUUUAAUUGACUACAGAGAUAGGGCAAUCUACACAGAAUACUAAUCAGAAUAGUCCUGCUAAUACUUUGUCAUUAAGAAUAACCUUAGUACUUAAUAAGAAAAGAGAGCUGUGUUAGUUGUGUUCAUCAACAUCGCUCCAGUUCAGUUUCUAUCAGUAUUUCUAUUACAACCCCCUAAUUCCAAUGACUUCAUAAUUCAAGUUUUAUACAAAACUUUCACAAAAUCCUAUAUUCUAUUUUACAUGUAAAUAAAAAGAAAGAACACAAAUUAAUCAGUGGCAUAAAACUAAGGCAAUGGAAAAGGGAGAUAUUGCACUGUAGUAUCAAGAUGCAAAGGUUAGCCUUCGAAGUGACAGCACUGCCAGCAUAACUCUCCUCCCAGAUGCUGUCAUCCUGUUUCCUGUUCUACUUGUAUCACUUAGACUUUAAGCAUUUUGGGGUAGGAAAUCUGUCUAUAUCUUUUCUGUAAUGUGAUUUGCACAUCUAUGGCAUGAGAUGAAUAGUUUUGGUUUGAGUAAUUUUGGAAUCAACUGACUUGCUUCAUUUUCUGGUAGCAGCUUCUCAAGGAAAACAGCCCCCUGGCUAAAUUCCCAAACAUCAUCAAGUCAAUGGAAGCUGAUUGCUUUUGAUCAUUUAUUUUUGAUCAUUCACACAAUUAUGUAAUGGGGUGGGAGCACAUUUUGUAAAUCCAAAUAUGUAUUUUUAUUAUUAGAGCUGGUCAAACUUCUCCAAAUUUUUGAUUUUUCAAUGAAAUUUUUCAUCAAAAUUUUGAGAGAUGAUUGGAAAAACAGGAUGAUUUUUGUAUAAAUAUGCUAUGAAGGAGUCAUCUUGUUUUUUAACCAGCUAUGGGACCGAUCAAAGUUUUCUGAAUUUUGAACUUUCAAUGAAAAAUUUUCUCAAAAUGUUGACAAUAAAAGGGAAAAUUUUUGCAAAUAUUAAUGUGAAAUAUGGUCUCAUUUUUUAUCAGCUCUAAUUAUAAUAUAA